GUCUAUGGCUGUGCUACCCUGAACAAGCUGGAUCCCGGCUGAUCUCGGAAGCUAAGCAAGGUUGGCCUGGUUAAUACUUGGUGGGAGACCCCUAGAGAGACCAGGUGCUGUAGGCA
rnacentral:rRNA from 1 species